rnacentral:rRNA from 1 species
UACGGAGGGUGCAAACGUUGCUCGGAAUCAUUGGGCGUAAAGCGCACGUAGGCGGACUGUUAAGUCGGAUGUGAAAUCCCUCAGCUUAACUGAGGAAGUGCACUCGAAACUGGCAGUCUUGAGUAUGGAAGGGGGUCGCGGAAUUCCCGGUGUAGAGGUGAAAUUCGUAGAUAUCGGGAGGAACACCAGUGGCGAAGGCGGCGACCUGGGCCAAUACUGACGCUGAGGUGCGAAAGCGUGGGGAGCAAACAGG